UCUACAUUACUUAUGAAAAUACUGGUAGUUUAUUGCAGAAUGACAUGUACUGAUACUGUAUGAUUAUUUUAUGAUUUACAGCAACAGACACCGUGGUAACAGGCUGCUUAAGGUCAUGAGAGAGAUGGCACAGAGAAUUAUGUUUAUUGACAUUUGUGAACACACAAAGUUCUGGUCCAACAGAGACAAAUAUUUCUAAACCAGCAGGCAAUGGAGCUCUCCAUUAUUGAUUAGAAGGGUAUUACAACAUCGACAUUCAGGAAAACCUGGCCUUAUUAACAUGUAGAGGUCUUUCAUCUAAGAUCAUAGCACCAGCUGCAAUCCAGAACCUAGAAUUCAGCGCCACUAAGUAGUAAAUUCAUAGACCAUUAGUUUUACGUCCAGGAUCCCUCUUCAACUGAAAAUUUAUCAGACAAUGGUUGUACAGUUAUAUCUGGAUCUCAAGACAUUUACGUAACAGUAACUUAGUCUUUACAGUCAACCAAUUCUACUAGACUUAAGUAGACAAAGACUGAUGAAAGUACUAAGGUGGAUCCCAGUUUAACUGAGAAGUAACUAAGCUUGCAGACCAGCAGUUGUGCAUAACUAUUUGCUUACCAGCUCCUAUGAAAUUGUAUGUAAUGUUUAAAAGAAAGUUUUUCGAUACAGCAAUAUGAAUCUGAAUUAGAAUAAUGGGCCUCGCAGUGCAAUUCUAUUUAAACAAAGAAGUUGAGAUUUUAAAACCAGUAAAUAUAGAAUCACCUGUAGUGAUUAGCGACUUCUUUAAUUCUUUUGAUUAUGUGGAUGUUUAUGUUUUUAAAUUUGAACCCAAGAUGGAAACAUUCAGAUAUUGUUAUGUUUUUUUAGCUCACAUCAGUACAAAGAGGGCUGGAUGAACUCAUAACAGCUUGUCUAAUCAUACAUAACACAUAAUGAAUGUACAAAUUAUAUAUGUCAUACCAUGUGUGUCUUUCGCUCUGUCAGUUCAUAUGCUGCCAUUUGUUUAUUCAGGACUUUGAAUACUCAGGGAAAUCAGAAUCAUUAUGUUUUACAUAACAUGCCUUUCUUAUAUCUCAUUUUGUACAUACAUGUACAUAGCAUAGACAAUACAUUUUUAGCUCGACUAUUCAUAGAAUAGUAGCGCUAUUGAACUCGCCCAUGCGUCCGCGUCCAUGUCCCGAUUUAGUUAAGUUUUUGUAUGUAAGCUGGUAUCUCAGAAACCACUUGUGGGGAUGAAUUGAAACUUCUCACACUUAUUCACUGUGAUAAACUGACUUACAUUGCACAGGUGAAUAACUCUAUUUUGCUUUUUUACAAAAUUAUGCCCCUUUUUUUACUUAGAAAUUUUUGGUUAAGGUUUUGUAUGUAAGCUGGUAUCUCAGUAACCACUUGUGGGAAUGGAUUGAAAGUUCACACACUUAUUUACUGUGAUAAACUGACUUACAUUGCACAGGUUCCAUAACUCUAUUUUGCCUUUUUACAAAAUUGUGCCCUUUUUUCGACUUUUGUACUCAUUCAAUUUGGCAAGGCUGUUGAAUAGUUGAGCAUUGCUGUCCUCCGACAGCUCUUGUUAAUUUAUAUGUAAGUAUACUGUCUGUAAUUCUGUAGCAGUUUCAUCCUCACUUAAUUGAUGCUAAGCAUUUUGUUACAUCACUCGGGGAAUACACAUCUCAUGUCAUAUUAUCAUAUACUAGUACCUGUUUGAAUUGAUAGCACAGGUUUAGGCUUAAAUUGGAGUAAAAAAUGAGCUUACAGAAGUGUAAAUAUGUUCCUCUUCUAGCCUGUUAUUUAUUUUUUAGUUCUUGUUUGUAUACUAAGAUUUGAAGUGUUUUCCGUAUUGUUUUGUACAUAAACAUGCAUUGUUUAAGUUGAAUUUACAUGUAAAUAAGUUGUCUAUACAUGUAUAUAUCUUGUGUUUGGUUUUUUAGGAAGGAAAUACAGAUUGUUGUGUUAUUAUGUAGCAGACCGCAUUGUAAAUGAGAUACUUGUAUACUUACCUUAUCAAUAUAAUUUUUGAAAAAAAAACAAAUAUUACACAGGAGCAUUUUAACAUUGUGUCCGUGGUAAAUUUUGUGCAAAUCUUUGUCACCCUUCAGAUCUGUUAACAAGGGACAUAAAUACAAAACACGCUUUUUUGUCUUUCAAAUGAAAUAAAGAUAUUCUGGUUAGAAAAGCUUUACAAAUUUCCUUUGACCUCCACAUCCUAGAAAUGUUUAAUGGUUUUAUAUUGCUUUUAAAUGAGUAUAGUUUUUAAUGAUAGUUUUAAAAUGUAAAGGGUGUAAAGUGCAUUCAUCUUAUGAAUGGGGUAUACAGUGUUUUAGAUAGUUCAGCAAUGAGUAAGAAAUAAAGAAAAUCAAUGGUAAUCAUUUAGAAUGCAGAAGUAAAAAUUAUACGAAAACAAGUAAUUAUAAAGAAUUUGCAAAUUAAUGUCUUUUUUAGAUAAAACCGGAUCUGCUUUGAUGCAUUCUAUGCCUCCAAAGUGUCUUUUUGACCGAUUGUAAUAUUUCAUUUUUGUUUCCAUAAUGGCUUUUAAACAGAGAUGUGUUUUUAUAUACAUAUUCUGCUGGUAUGAUACACUCUUAUAGUUUUCCAUUAUACUGCUUUCAGCAAUUUAAAUCAGUGUAAAGUUAUAUUGCAUUGGCUAUUGCACAGACUAUAGUAUACAGCAUUAACUCCCCCUGUCAGCUGUUCUGAUUAUGAUUUUUUUUAUAGAUUUUAACUUCCAUCAAGAACUAUACUCUUUUAAAUUUUAAUGUUGGAAAUGAUUUGAUUUUCUUUAUAUAUAUAUUUUUAUUUGUAAUGUACAGUUUGGACCUUGUAUUUUCCAGUUACAUUUGUAAUUCACUUGUACAUAGUUUGUAUAUAACAUGUUUCAUUUAUGUCAAAAUGCAUAGUAAGUUGUAAGUGCUCUCAAUAACAAGUUGGGCCCUGGCAGACGAGUGAUUUAGGAGGCUGACUUCGAGUCACGUACUUGCUCCUCUCUACUUACGGUUUGAAAUGGGUCAGUGGUUCUACCUAGAUAUCAGCCAAUGCAUGAAUAUGAUGGGAGCACUGGGUACACUUGGGCCCCACCAUAUCAAAAGCAGAGAAGUUGUUUUAUGACAUGAUUGUGUUGACUGGAUGUUAAACAUGAUAAAAUGAUAAAACAUACUCUCAAUUUAUCAAUGAUGUCCGCUGCCAAGCUAACCAUUUCAAAGGAUUUUGGAAUUGUGUAUUUGUCAAACUUGUAAAUAUGUAAAUAAACAUCCCAUUUUUUUGCUGAGGUUGUGAAUAUGAAUGGGCAGCAGUGCUUAAAGUUUUGUUUCAAUGUGUAAUUUAUGUACAUUUUAUUGUUUAUUUACCGCUGGUGUAACAGACUCUGUGUUACAGUUCAGUCUUUAGAAUAGUGCAGUUAAAUAGGUUAAACUAGUUUAGUUACUGUCUGUUCUGUAUAUAUGUAUACAUAUACAUAUAUUUCUGUGUGUACAUACAUGUAAUUUUAUUCAGUUAAGCUUUGAUGUAAAAAAGUGUAUAUUAUUUUUGUCUUCAUUCAGACAAUGAUAAUGUUUGAAAUAUAAUGGGGAAUUUGUUAAAUGAACUCAGUAUUAUGAGUAUACGCUAUUUAGUCCAAGAGCAUGAGAAGGGAAAUAACUGUUGUAAUGUGGAAUUUGUUAAAUGAACUCAGUAUUAUGAGUAUACGCUUUUUAGUCCAUGAGCAUAAGAAGGGAAAUAACUAUUGUAAUGUGAAUUUGUUAAAUAAACUCAGUAUCAUGAGUAUACACUUUUUAGUCCAAGAGUGUGAGAAGGGAAAUAACUGUUGUAAUGUGAAUUUGUUAAAUGAACUCAGUAUUAUGAGUAUACGCUUUUUAGUCCAAGAGUGUGAGAAGGGAAAUAACUGUUGUAAUGUGAAUUUGUUAAAUGAACUCAGUAUUAUGAGUAUACGCUAUUUAGUCCAAGAGCAUGAAAAGGGAAAUAACUGCUGUAAUGUGAAUUUGUUAAAUAAACUCAGUAUUAUGAGUAUACGCUUUUUAGUCCAAGAGCAUGAGAAAGGAAAUAACUGCUGUAAUGUGAAUUUGUUAAAUAAACUCAGUAUCAUGAG